GUGGAGCACUGACACCUGCAGGCGGCGCUGGAGCCAUGUGUUAUGAUAGAGACCGCUCGGUGGCGCUGCUGCGCUCCGUUCACAGGCACACACUGCGGGCAUGAGUGGGCAUGUACUUGUACAUGUGUGUGUGUUUACGUGUGGUGCGAAGACACGCUUGCAACAGACACAAACCUCACGCCGCAUGCGAGGAGGUUCCGCGGCCGCUCAUGUCUGGAGCUCAUCAAUAAAGCAGCGAUGGAGCGUCGAGGAGGGAAAUUCAGCAACAAAGAGAAAGAUAAUCCCGCUGCGCCUUCAUGGAGCCAAAAUGGCGCCACGGAGGAAGAGGAGGAUUGUCCGGACGGUCCCGAUGGAGAGAAACGGGUCAAGAGCGUCUCGUGGGCCGCGAAACCAGCCGAAGAGCAGCCGCGACUCAACUUCCACAUCCCCCGAAAGAGCAGAGAAAACAGAGCUCUGUUUCAGUAUGUGUCUACGGACUCUAGAGAGUUUUCCGACAUUCUGCAGAUUCUCUCCUCCAGCUACAAGGACUCUUCCUCCACCGGGACAUUUGUGUACUCCAAACCUCGCCUCGUCCACAGCGAAUCGCUGGAGAAAGACGUGAGUGUUUGA
ensembl:lncRNA